AGUCUAUAGCCCUAUUCAGAGCUUAUGUUGAUUUUCUGAUUAAUCCUCAAUUUCAGUGUUUUUGCUGACGAGUUUCUAUGUAAUUUCGGAUAAACAUUACGAAUAUUACAUGCCCCCUAAAUUCGGUAUCCUUUUUCGAUAUUUGUCUGUCUUUCUCUCGUUCUCUCUUUUUCUCUCUCUCUCACAGUGUCCUGGAAAGGACUGAAUGCAGAGCAGAAGAUAAGUUGUAUGUGGAUAGUGCUAGUGCUGUUAUUCCUACCGUUACUAGUGGUUAUCAUUUGUAUACUGGCUGCGGUAGGGAUUAUUCCCGGAAGACAGCCAAACGAUAACCCAGUUGCGGUGAACCUGACAGGUAUUGGCGUUGACAGGGCCACCUAUGACGCCAUAUCCAGCAGCUGCAAGGGCCAGUGGAAGGUGCACUUCCUGGCCUAUAACGCCUCAGAACCCGAUAUCAGCAGCACUGCCGCCCCGCCCACGCCUAGCGCAAAUGGCACGGAUCUGAUCUGCUGCUACAAUUUCACUGACCAUUAUAAAAAUAUGUCCAUAGAAUAACGACCGCUGAUAAUUGAAAAGGGAAACUGUACUUACAACGGCGAGUGUGAAGAUUUAGUUUUCGAAGGCAAAAUGUAUCCGUGCUUUAGCGUGGCAUCAGUUUUGUCAAACAGUAUCGCUAUCAUAGUACGGGUUUUUGUUUUCAUAUCUUGGCUUGUAAUAAAUGCAUAUACUGGGUAGAAUAUUAAUAAAUGAAGUAUUUUUAUGUUUUGCAUUGUAAAUUAUGAUGAAAGUUAGAGGAUUGUGUACUCUGUAUGUUGUUGGCUUGAUUGAAUAUUAGCGUUGCUGGAUGUUCGUCUUUAUAUAAUAUUAAGCGUUCCAAAAUCCCAAACUUCAAAUACCGUUACAAUUUCCAUUUUUUUCGUUACAUAGGCUCAUACGUAUAAAGGCUAAGCAUUGUUUCGUGUUUCGAACAAAAAAUAUAAAAUUAAGAAAAUCUAACCCAGUGUAACUGGUCAAUUCUUUCGUUACUUUUCAAGUUAUAAUUUUCAUUACUUUGAAAUGUGAUUGUUGUCCUUGUAAAUGAGGUGAUUGUUUUAGGUAUAACUUUUUUUAAAGAAUAAGUGAGCCGAAAAAGGUAGAAAUGAGCGUUUAUUAUCCGACUCUAUGUUGAAUGUAAAAAAGGACUGCGAUGAAUGAAAAUAAAAGUGAACAAAGUAACGGAACAAAAUUCUACAAAAUAUGUGUACAAUGAUGGCCUUCUGAAAACUAGUUACAUGUAUAUUCGCGUAGCUCCUACUGUUUCGUCUUUAACUACCAGCACGAUUAUAUACUCGCCACUCCUAUUCCA
rnacentral:lncRNA from 1 species